GCUGCCUACAUCGUGUGCCUUCUUCUACCCUUUGUUUAUGAGUACCUUUUAUUUUUCAUUCCUCGGUGGGGUAACCUGCCGAUGGAAUGCUUCUUAAACUCUUGUAUUAGCAUUUUAAUAUCUGAUAACCUAAUUAAUUAUUACAACUUUCAACAAUGGAUCUCUUGGUUCUGGCAUCGAUGAAGAACGCAGCGAAAUGCGAUAAGUAGUGUGAAUUGCAGACUUUAGUGAAUCAUCGAAUCUUUGAACGCACAUUGCGCCCCUUGGUAUUCCAUUGGGCAUGCCUGUUCGAGCGUCAUUUAACCCCUCAAGCACUGCUUGGUGUUGGGCGUUUUGUCUACGGACUCGCCCCAAAUCUAUUGGCAGCAGCCUUACCAGCUUCUUGCGCAGUACAAUGCGCUUCGAGAAGCCUGUGUAGUGGUGUGCAAUCCAGUAAGCAACUCUUUAUUUUGACCUCGAAUCAGGUAGGGAUACCCGCUGAACUUAAGCAUAUCA
rnacentral:rRNA from 1 species